GUGCUCACUUUGGCAGCACUAAAAUUGGAACUAUACAGACAUUAGCAUGGCCCCUGUGCAAAGAUGACAUGCAAAUUUGUGAAGAGUUCCAUAUUUAA
ensembl:snRNA U6 U6 spliceosomal RNA